AAAGUUAAAAUAAAAUUAAAGGACGAGAAGACCCUAUAGAUCUUUAUUUUUGUUAUUUAUAAAUUAAAAAGAAUUUUAAAAUUUAUAAUUUAAUAAAAAAUUUUAUUGGGGUGAUAUUAAAAUUUAAAAAACUUUUAAAAUUUAUUAACAUAAAUAUAUGAAUAAAUGAUCCAGUUUUAUUGAUUAAAAAAUUAAGUUACCUUAGGGAUAACAGCGUAAUUUUUUUUUAGAGUUCUUAUCGACAAAAAAGA
rnacentral:rRNA from 1 species